UCGAACGCGCCCUCCGAUUCGGAGGGCAGUGGCGGACGGCUGAGUAACACGUGGGAAUCUACCCCUUUCUGGAAAAUAGCUUACCGAAAGGUGAGAUAAUGUUCCAUAAUCUCCUCCAAUUUAGAGGAGUAAAGAGAGUAACUUCUUGGAAAGGGAGGAGCCUGCGGCCUAUCAGGUAGUUGGUAGGGUAAUAGCCUACCAAGCCUACGACGGGUAGCUGGUCUGAGAGGAUGGUCAGCCAGAGGGGUACCGAGACACGGACCCCACUCCUACGGGAGGCAGCAAUCAGGAAUAGUCGGCAAUGGGCGAAAGCCUGACCGCGCGACACCGCGUGUGGGAAGAAGCUUCUCGGAGUGUAAACCACUGUGGUAAGGGAAGAAGACCUCCGAUUCGGAGGUUUGACGGUACCUUACUAGAAAGGGGCCGCUAACUGCGUGCCAGAAGCGUCGGUAAUACGUGGGCCCCAAACAUUAUCCGGUUUUACUGGGCAUAAAGGGUCGUGUAGGCUUUCCGAUAAGUCUUGGUUUAAAGACUACGGCUCAACCGUAGAAAUGGUCAAGAUACUAUCGUGAUCGAGUUACUUUUAUGGAAACUGGAACUCACGGAGGAGUAGUGAAAUGCGUUGAUACCCUGGGGAACACCGAUGGCGAAGGCGAGUUUCUG
rnacentral:rRNA from 1 species